rnacentral:rRNA from 1 species
UAGCGUAGGGUGCAAGCGUUGUCCGGAAUUAUUGGGCGUAAAGCGUGCGCAGGCGGUUAUGUAAGACAGUUGUGAAAUCCCCGGGGCUCAACCUGGGAACUGCAUUUGUGACUGUAGAGCUGGAGUGCGGCAGAGGGGGAUGGAAUUCCGCGUGUAGCAGUGAAAUGCGUAGAGAUGUGGAGGAACACCGAUGGCGAAGGCAGCCCCCUGGGCUAACACUGACGCUCAUGCACGAAAGCGUGGGGAGCAAACAGG